GCUGGACAUGGUGGCCCAUGCCUGUAGUCCCAGCUACUUGGGAGGCUGAGGCAGGAGAAUUGCUUGAACCUGGGAGGCCGAGGUUGCAGUGAGCCGAGAUUGUGCCACUGCACUCUAGCCUGGGUGACAAAGCGAAUCUCUGUCUCAA
ensembl:misc_RNA Metazoa_SRP Metazoan signal recognition particle RNA